CUUCAUAUCCAGGAAACAACUGCAACUGUUCUGACAGCAGCACUUACUUCAAAGAAACCAGAACCAUCUGCUGGAUUUUCUGAUAUUAGCUCAUCUGAGCAAGGGAGUUCUUCAGGUACAGUUGUUCCACCACCUUUAGUGGACAAACAUGAACAAUCCUCAGAUGGUGGACCGUCGGCUACUUCUGAGACAAUAGAAGAAAUCAACAGUCAUGAACAUAUUGUUGAGGGAAAAAGUACUAAAUAUGAGGACAAAGCAUCUUCAAAAUCAACUAAUGCUGACAAGUCACUGGGUGUUGGGGCUGAGCAAUCAACUUCUCUUAGUGCAGAAACCAAGGGAUUAUCUACUCCUCUGAGGCUAGACCCGGACAGUCCUGUAGCUGAUGGCUUGUCUUCUAGCAAUGAAGAUGAGCAUCCUGACCAGGAACAACUGAAUACUGAUUAAUAA
rnacentral:misc_RNA from 1 species